rnacentral:rRNA from 1 species
UGAGGAAUAUUGGUCAAUGGACGCAAGUCUGAACCAGCCAAGUAGCGUGCAGGAUGACGGCCCUAUGGGUUGUAAACUGCUUUUAUAUGGGGAUAAAGUGGGGAACGUGUUCCCUUUUGCAGGUACCAUAUGAAUAAGGACCGGCUAAUUCCGUUCCAGCAGCCGCGGUAAUACGGAAGGUUCGGGCGUUAUCCGGAUUUAUUGGGUUUAAAGGGAGCGUAGGCCGUUUGGUAAGCGUGUUGUGAAAUGUAGGAGCUCAACUUCUAGAUUGCAGCGCGAACUGUCAGACUUGAGUGCGCACAACGUAGGCGGAAUUCAUGGUGUAGCGGUGAAAUGCUUAGAUAUCAUGAAGAACUCCGAUUGCGAAGGCAGCUUACGGGAGCGCAACUGACGCUGAAGCUCGAAGGUGCGGGUAUCGAACAAG